rnacentral:rRNA from 1 species
AUUCGCCUACGGGAGGCAGCAGUGAGGAAUAUUGGUCAAUGGGAGAGAUCCUGAACCAGCCACGCCGCGUGAGGGAAGACGGCCCUAUGGGUUGUAAACCUCUUUUGUCGGAGAACAAAACCCGGGACGUGUCCCGGACUGCGUGUAUCCGAAGAAAAAGCAUCGGCUAACUCCGUGCCAGCAGCCGCGGUAAUACGGAGGAUGCGAGCGCUAUCCGGAUUUAUUGGGUUUAAAGGGUGCGUAGGCGGUCCGCUAAGUCAGCGGUAAAAUUGCGGGGCUCAACCCCGUCGGGCCGUUGAAACUGG